UGUCAUCAUUUUGUUAGCGCCGAGAAGUAAAUUGUAGCUUACUGUCGAUCCCAGUGAGUGCUUUCAUUGUGUAUUUGUUUUUCGAAUCUGUGUGGUGGAUUGAAAAAAUAUGAGAGGCAGAAAACCACAUCCAUAUGAGGACUGGGAUUUCACAAAUCCUCAUCAUUUAUUCAAGCUGCAAUCUAUUAAACCUGGAUCAGCGGAGACCCACUCAGCGUGGCUCAGCACAGUGCGGACCACCCUGUGAUGUCAUCUGUUUAUAUCUCCGUGGGAAGAAAAGGACAAGCGCUUUAGGGUUUUCUGCUGCUGCAUAUGUGCUCAGUCUCUUCUAUCACUUGCAAAGAAACUAUUAUAUCUACUGUGUAGUGUAUAAAGCCAAAUACUUGCAUGGCAUCUAUUUCACAAAAGUGGGUAAACGCCUACCGAUUUAUAACAUUUGAACCGAUUUUGGAGAUGUCAAGGCCCUGUGACGAGGACAGAAAUGUGUGUUAUACUGUGUGAUGAUAUUUGGUGACUGAGAGGGCAGCCAUUGAACGACGCCCGGGCAGAGCUCCAGGAGGUCUGCUCGACUCUUUUGAAAGCCACCCCUGGAGCUGCCGAGGCCACCCCUGGUACCGAAGGCAGCCCGGGCACCACGCCCGGGCAGAGUUCCAGGCGUUUGGAUUGACUUGCAUGAGCUCCCUCUGAUGAUGACAAUCAUUAUUAUUUUAUUUUUUUUAUCAUUAUCAUCAUCUAUUUUGCAUUAUCCUUCCAUAAUGAAGUUAAAUGCUCAAAUUUGGCUAUAUUGUCCGCAUGUUUAUACUUUUAUGUUUUAUUUGGUUUGUGAAGAAAAUACGUGAAUUGUAUGGGCAAUAUUUGUAACACACAUCCGAAUGAAUUAAUCAUAUUGGGCUACAUUGUCUUAAUUACCAAGUUUUUUUUAAGAAGGCUUUUUGUUGUUGUUGUAGCAUGACUUUGCCCUACAAAGCAAGAUCUAUAAUCUGACUUUCAUGUGGGAGAAGAAAUGUGACCGCAUAAGUCUGACCCUUGUAUUUACUAUUUGUGACCUUUGACAGUCACUGUUUAGAAUUAAAUCAUAGUACUUUCUAAGAAA